GUACAACAGCCAUAAAACUGAAUAUUAUUUGGCUAGAACCUGAAAUGGCAGAAACUCUCAGGAAUCAUGUGCAAACCGUCUAAAGCUGACUGUUGGAUGGGGUUGGCGAAGGUGUGCUUGAAUAAGGAUCACCUGAAGGCGUGGAGUCCCUGGCUGCUGGUUGUUUGUGUCGUGGCGGGUGGCAGUUUGAGUCCCCUGCAGGCAGUGGCGGCUGUAAUAUGUAUUAGUAUAGGCAUGCAGACAACAAUUGGAAAUUAUAUGAUUCAUGUGAUCAUUUUCCUUGUAUUCUUUUCUAUUGUUGGUUAUAUAUAAGAUUUUAGAAGAUUCUUGUGAUCCUUUUCCUUGUAUUCUUUUCUAUUGUUGGUUAUAUAUCAGAUUUUAGAAGAUUCUUGUGAUCCUUUUCCUUGUAUUCUUUUCUAUUGUUGGUUAUAUAUCAGAUUUUAGAAGAUU